UGGGGAAUAUUGGACAAUGGGGGGAACCCUGAUCCAGCCAUGCCGCGUGUGUGAAGAAGGCCUUAUGGUUGUAAAGCACUUUAAGCGAGGAGGAGGGUACUGGUAUUAAUACUACCAGGUACUGGACGUUACUCGCAGAAUAAGCACCGGCUAACUCUGUGCCAGCAGCCGCGGUAAUACAGAGGGUGCGAGCGUUAAUCGGAUUUACUGGGCGUAAAGCGUGCGUAGGCGGCUAAUUGAGUCGGAUGUGAAAUCCCCGAGCUUAACUUGGGAAUUGCAUUCGAUACUGGUUAGCUAGAGUGUGGGAGAGGAUGGUAGAAUUCCAGGUGUAGCGGAGAAAUGCGUAGAUAUAGGAAGGAACACCAGUGGCGAGGGCGACCACCUGGGCUCAUACUGACACUGAGGUGCGAAAGCGUGGGGAGCAAACAGG
rnacentral:rRNA from 1 species